GUCGCUGCAAAAUCAGCGACUGGGUUUGGUCGCCCGGGUUUAGAAUGGCGCACGUUGCCGCGCGAGCGGCUGUCUG
rfam:Pseudomonas fluorescens F113, complete genome.